rnacentral:rRNA from 1 species
UAGAGUUUGAUCCUGGCUCAGGAUGAACGCUGGCGGCGUGCUUAACACAUGCAAGUCGAACGAACCUUCGGGUUAGUGGCGGACGGGUGAGUAACGCGUGAGAAUCUGCCCUCAGGAGGGGGAUAACGGUUGGAAACGACCGCUAAUACCCCAUAUGCCGAUAGGUGAAAUGAAUUUCGCCUGAGGAUGAGCUCGCGUCUGAUUAGCUUGUUGGUGAGGUAAUGGCUCACCAAGGCUUCGAUCAGUAGCUGGUCUGAGAGGAUGAUCAGCCACACUGGGACUGAGACACGGCCCAGACUCCUACGGGAGGCAGCAGUGGGGAAUUUUCCGCAAUGGGCGAAAGCCUGACGGAGCAACGCCGCGUGAGGGACGAAGGCCUCUGGGCUGUAAACCUCUUUUCUCAAGGAAGAAGAUAUGACGGUACUUGAGGAAUAAGCCACGGCUAAUUCCGUGCCAGCAGCCGCGGUAAUACGGGAGUGGCAAGCGUUAUCCGGAAUUAUUGGGCGUAAAGCGUCCGCAGGCGGCCUUUCAAGUCUGUUGUUAAAGCGUGGAGCUUAACUCCAUUAUGGCAGUGGAAACUGAUAGGCUUGAGUAUGGUAGGGGCAGAGGGAAUUCCCGGUGUAGCGGUGAAAUGCGUAGAUAUCGGGAAGAACACCAGUGGCGAAGGCGCUCUGCUGGGCCAUUACUGACGCUCAUGGACGAAAGCCAGGGGAGCGAAAGGGAUUAGAUACCCCUGUAGUCCUGGCCGUAAACGAUGAACACUAGGUGUCGGGGGAAUCGACCCCUUCGGUGUCGUAGCUAACGCGUUAAGUGUUCCGCCUGGGGAGUACGCACGCAAGUGUGAAACUCAAAGGAAUUGACGGGGGCCCGCACAAGCGGUGGAGUAUGUGGUUUAAUUCGAUGCAACGCGAAGAACCUUACCAGGGUUUGACAUCCUGAGAACCUCUUAGAAAUUUGAGGGUGCCUUCGGGAAUUCAGUGACAGGUGGUGCAUGGCUGUCGUCAGCUCGUGUCGUGAGAUGUUGGGUUAAGUCCCGCAACGAGCGCAACCCACGUUUUUAGUUGCCAGCAUUUAGUUGGGCACUCUAGAAAGACCGCCGGUGAUAAACCGGAGGAAGGUGUGGAUGACGUCAAGUCAUCAUGCCCCUUACACCCUGGGCUACACACGUACUACAAUGCCACGGACAAAGGGCAGCAAACUCGCGAGAGCUAGCAAAUCCCAUAAACCGUGGCUCAGUUCAGAUCGUAGGCUGCAACUCGCCUACGUGAAGUAGGAAUCGCUAGUAAUCGCAGGUCAGCAUACUGCGGUGAAUACGUUCCCGGGCCUUGUACACACCGCCCGUCACACCAUGGAAGUUGGCCAUGCCCGAAGUCGUUACUCCAACCCUUGUGGAGGAGGACGCCGAAGGUGGGGCUAAUGACUGGGGUGAAGUCGUAACAAGGUAACCA